CGCGCGGCGAAUAAUCCGUGCGGAGCAGCGGCGCCCCAGCCCGUCAGUCUGUCCGUCCGCCCGUCAUGUUGCGGCCGAGACGUGUUUUGUAAUUAUUUCCCCGUUGCUCCAUCGGCAUCCCGACGCGUUCCUGGUCCUAGGGAGGGAACGAGGAAAUGAGGUUUAAGAAGCAUCUCCACGCCAAAAGCAGGUCUCGGCUGCACCGCUGUAAGAGCAGAAGUGAUUUCCCUGGAAUAUCGGGUGAGGGCAGAGGUCAAUUAUGUGGCGUUUAGGUGUAAUGAAUUAAGUUCCUUAUUCAAUUCAGAAGGAGAAGGUAAAACAGAGGAAUAACCACGUUCUUUGUGGCUAAUACUUAAGGAAUAUGACUGAGUUUUCAUACCCCGUUUUUUCUUGCCAGUGUAUACAGGAUCCCUCCUGUAUCACAUACCGAAGUGAACUACCCUGCCUCAUUAAGAACAUUUAGGUAAAAUGAGUGACAACUCAAAAGUGACAGGCUGCAAGUAUGUGCCUUAUCCCCUCCUAUACCAAAAAAUAACAUGCAUAACUCCUUGCACUGAAGAAAUGCAUUGACUUUGCAGACUUCUGUCUCAACAGGAGUAAAAUGUGUUCAUUCUGUAA